GACGAACGCUGGCGGCGUGCUUAACACAUGCAAGUCGAACGGAAAGGCCCUGCUUUUGUGGGGUGCUCGAGUGGCGAACGGGUGAGUAACACGUGAGUAACCUGCCCUUGACAUUGGGAUAAAUUCAGGAAACUGGGGCUAAUACCGGAUAGGAGCUCCUGCUGCAUGGUGGGGGUUGGAAAGUUUCGGCGGUUGGGGAUGGACUCGCGGCUUAUCAGCUUGUUGGUGUGGUAGUGGCUUACCAAGGCUUUGACGGGUAGCCGGCCUGAGAGGGUGACCGGCCACAUUGGGACUGAGGUACGGCCCAGACUCCUACGGGAGGCAGCAGUGGGGAAUAUUGCGCAAUGGGCGGAAGCCAGAUGCAGCAACGCCGCGUGCGGGAUAACGGCCUUCGGGUUGUAAACCGCUUUCGCCUGUGACGAAGCGUGAGUGACGGUAAUGGGUAAAGAAGCACCGGCUAACUACGUG
rnacentral:rRNA from 1 species